CUUACACCGAAUGCUUGCAUUCACCGUAAGAAGUUGAGUGGCGGACGGGUGAGUAACACGUGGGUAACCUGCCUAAAAGAAGGGGAUAACACUUGGAAACAGGUGCUAAUACCGUAUAUCUCUAAGGAUCGCAUGAUCCUUAGAUGAAAGAUGGUUCUGCUAUCGCUUUUAGAUGGACCCGCGGCGUAUUAACUAGUUGGUGGGGUAACGGCCUACCAAGGUGAUGAUACGUAGCCGAACUGAGAGGUUGAUCGGCCACAUUGGGACUGAGACACGGCCCAAACUCCUACGGGAGGCAGCAGUAGGGAAUCUUCCACAAUGGACGCAAGUCUGAUGGAGCAACGCCGCGUGAGUGAAGAAGGUCUUCGGAUCGUAAAACUCUGUUGUUAGAGAAGAACACGAGUGAGAGUAACUGUUCAUUCGAUGACGGUAUCUAACCAGCAAGUCACGGCUAACUACGUGCCAGCAGCCGCGGUAAUACGUAGGUGGCAAGCGUUGUCCGGAUUUAUUGGGCGUAAAGGGAACGCAGGCGGUCUUUUAAGUCUGAUGUGAAAGCCUUCGGCUUAACCGGAGUAGUGCAUUGGAAACUGGAAGACUUGAGUGCAGAAGAGGAGAGUGGAACUCCAUGGGUAG
rnacentral:rRNA from 1 species